GGGUUGUGAGGUUAAGCGACUAAGCGUACACGGUGGAUGCCCUGGCAGUCAGAGGCGAUGAAGGACGUGCUAAUCUGCGAUAAGCGCCGGUAAGGUGAUAUGAACCGUUAUAACCGGCGAUUUCCGAAUGGGGAAACCCAGUGUGAUUCGUCACACUAUCAUUAACUGAAUCCAUAGGUUAAUGAGGCGAACCGGGGGAACUGAAACAUCUAAGUACCCCGAGGAAAAGAAAUCAACCGAGAUUCCCCCAGUAGCGGCGAGCGAACGGGGAGGAGCCCAGAGCCUGAAUCAGCAUGUGUGUUAGUGGAAGCGUCUGGAAAGGCGCGCGAUACAGGGUGACAGCCCCGUACACAAAAGCGCAUGUGCUGUGAGCUCGAUGAGUAGGGCGGGACACGUGGUAUCCUGUCUGAAUAUGGGGGGACCAUCCUCCAAGGCUAAAUACUCCUGACUGACCGAUAGUGAACCAGUACCGUGAGGGAAAGGCGAAAAGAACCCCGGCGAGGGGAGUGAAAAAGAACCUGAAACCGUGUACGUACAAGCAGUGGGAGCACAGGUUUACCUGUGUGACUGCGUACCUUUUGUAUAAUGGGUCAGCGACUUAUAUUCUGUAGCAAGGUUAACCGUAUAGGGGAGCCGGAGGGAAACCGAGUCUUAAUUGGGCGUUAAGUUGCAGGGUAUAGACCCGAAACCCGGUGAUCUAGCCAUGGGCAGGUUGAAGGUUGGGUAACACUAACUGGAGGACCGAACCGAC
rnacentral:rRNA from 1 species